CCACUGUGAGAAUGGGCCAUUGGUCUGAUCUAGCAGACUUGCCUUAAGCUCUUUUGUUAAGAAAGAGCGACAGCUAGAGAGAGGUAAGAAAAGAUUGGUGGAGCUCCUGAAGCACCUGGGCCAGUGAAGAAAAAUGUGGUAGUGGUGGGGUUAUCCUAGGGAAGCAAGAUAUAAAAUAUGGCAGGGCUCCUGUGCCUGUAGCAGCUGUUGUAGAAUUCCAUCACAUACAACUUCUGAAAUUCCUUGCCUGUCCUCUUUUGCAUUUGGCCGCCCUAGUUCCUCUUAACCCAUCUCUUCCCCACUGCCUCCUCAAAAAAUCACAUAUACACAAAGGGCCAAUCUAGCUGUUGGCCAGCUCCUGAUUUGCACAUUAUGGGAAUGGCACCAGAAAAAAAUAGAGAGGAUUGCUUGCACCCUUGAAAAAGUGGGUGCAUUUGGAAGGUGAUUUGGAACAUUUCUUUCCUAAGUGUCUCAAAUUCCACAUUGGAGUCCAUGGCUUGGGAUAUGUGAGGUGCAGAUGCUGCGGGCCUAGAAUGCCUUAAGAAGUUGGACAAAGCUGCUCUCCUACAGUGCCACCUGCAGGAGUUGACGGCAAACUGCAGUUUCAAAUGGCAGCUGAACAUAAUCCGCAGGCCUGUGAGCGGUCAGUCGAAAUUGUGGCUUCUGUUCUGAUUUGCUUGUACAAAGAUUAUGUGGAAGUGAGAUUAGAUGACCUUCAGGGUCUCUUCCAACUCCACAGUUCUAUGCUUCACAAAUAAAACGGCUGGGCUGCUGCUCUGCCACUGCUUGAAGCAGCCCCUAAGUGGUUUUAGCAUGGCUCAUCUAUGGCAGGCAUGCCCAGCUCUCAAGAGACUGCAAUCUACUCCCACUAUAAAAAAACAGGCAGUGAUCUACCCAUUGGAUUGACCAAAGUUGUUGAGUUUUUUUGGGGAGGCUUCACCAAAGUUGUUGAGCUUCUUUUGGGGAUAAUUCACCACAGUUGUUGAGCUUCUUUUGGGGAUAAUUCACCACAGUUGUUGAGGUGUUUUUUUUGGGGGGGGGUUAAACUGGAUCACACGAUCAACAAGGAUCAACCAGGGAUGACACGCGAUUGACCGGUAGAUAGCGAUCGACCGGUUGGACAUGCCUGAUCUAUGGUAUAAAACUCCCCACCCUGAAAAGUAUUAACAUUCAGCAAGCCUCCCCACCCCCUGUAAAAGUUACUGAAAAUCUCUCCUGCUUUAAGUGGGGGGUGGCCCCAUGAAAUAUGGGGGCAUUCACCCCCUCUUCUCCCCCCAUCCCAGUUUCAAAUUUUGUGUCAUAAGCUACUCAGGGCAGGGACUUGUCCCCUUGUGCUCUGUAAAGUGUCCCAUGCGCUGACAGUGAUACAGAAAUAACAGAAGAAGCCGCAUUAUACAGAGUCAAAGCAGUGGGUCCAUCUAGCUCAGUGCCAACUGCACUCUCAGCAGGUGACUGAGGACAUUCCCAUCCUGGGACUGAGCCUCGGACCUUCUGCAUGCAAAGCACUGCUCUACCAUUGAGCUACAGCCUUUCCCAUAAGGGGCCAGCAACUCCUCCUUUCCGGAACUUUCUCCUGUUAUCCUGCAAACUGGUCCCAUCAUUUAUUUAUUUAAUAAAAUGUCUAUACCGCUUGAUUGUAAACACACACACACACACACACACACACACAAACCCACUAAAUUCCAAGUGGUUUAAAAUAGGAACAGAACAGCAAGAUCCAUAACAAACUCUUUGUAGUUUCAGUUAUCUUUAAACCCAGUUUUCUUCCUCAACAUAAGGCAUAAUUCAGAGCCAGCAAUGGUUGUUUUACAAAUCUUCCUGAGCGGGGGGCGGGGGGAGACAGUGCCACAUGCCUGCGGCUGAAGUCAGCUGAAAGGAGCCUCAGUGCAAAAGCACCCUAUCGUCCCCUUUCUGGCCAGUCAGGGUGGGGAUAUAGAGAGAAGGUCUCAAGUGGGAUUAAACACAAUCCUAGAUUUAACCCUAUUAAUAAAUCUCCAUGGAAUAUUUCUAAAUCGAUCCUUCAUCUGGUGGCCUGGCCUUCAGUUUAUUGACAGAACCAGCCAGACUUUUCCAGGGAGGUCUAAUGAACUGGGUACAAAUUGAUCCAACGAAACAGCAACAAACCUGCACAUCCAAACCUGUACAUAAGCCAUACAUUUAAAGAGCAUUCAACACACAUGGUUCUUCCCCACACCAAAAAAUCAUGGGAAAUGUGCUUUGCAAAGGGUAUCAAGAACUGUGAUUUUGUGAGAGGGAAUCUGUAGUUCGGAGGGUUCUUUGUGGGGAAAGCAUGAGCUUUAAAUGUGUGUUGAAUAUGCUUUAAAUACAAGGUGUGGACGAGACCGCAUACUAACCUAAUCAUGUUCUCGUUCUACACUCCCAGGGUUUGCUAUCUAUACUCACAACAUCCUAUAGGUGGCAGCAGCGGCUUAAGGCCGAUUCCUGGGAGGUUAAGACUCCUUCCACACACUCCUUGCAUUUGCGAUCAAUCUUUUUCCGUAUUGUCUUGCGCUUUAUUCCAACAUUUGCCAACGCGGAUCAAUUCAUGCAUCACCAGAAUGAAGUGGGCAUUCAAUGCAAUUUAUUGAAAUAAGUAAAAACCACACAGGGUAGCACCGGUGAUGGCUUAUCCAUAUUUAACUUUUGCCUGCUCUUUCCUGCCACAGGUCUGCGCUGAAUUGGAGUAAUUCGAGUUUUCAGUAGAUUGCUGUUUGCUCCGACUGACCUUUGAGGAGUGAGUUUUCUCAGGGAAAGCUCCAGAGCAGAGAGAGAGAGAGAGAGAGAGAGAGAGAGAGAGGGGGGGGAGCGCUUGGACAUGGAAUUUUAAAGCGCAGACCAUGCCUGAAAAGCAUGGAGAAAAGGUAAAUGUGGAUAACCCCUCAGUAAGGGGGGGGUGACAUUGCCCCACAGAAACUCUUCCAUAGACAUGGGUUGCCAACUUCUCCACUCUCUUUUCUCUGCCUUUAACAUGCACACCAACAUUUAGAAAGUACAUUUUCUCCCCUUCACAGAAAAUAAUAGUGGAAAGGCAGAUGUCUAAAAGGUUUUUUUAGAAAAAGGGUGGGAGGAGCAACGCUGUCGAGGCUUCACCUGCUGAGUUUCUGCCUGCUGCAAAAUGGGAAGUGCUGAGACAGCUCAGUCAGUAGAGCAUGAGACUCUUAAACUGAGGGUCGUGGGUCGGAGCCCCAUGUUGGGCAAAAGAUCCCUGCAUUGCAGGGGGUUGCACUAGAUGAACCUUCCCAUCCAACUCUACUAUUCUAUAAUUCUGUGAAGCAAGCAAACAAAGAGGCACAGGGGUCGCCCAGAAGAAAAAGUGCUUCUCCCCUCACAAGAGCCAAACCGUUAGCACAGAGUGUGCCAAGGUGCUUCUCACCUGCUUGCAUCCCUGAAGGAUAACUGCUUUCAGAACCGGCCUAUGAAGCAGCCGCCGAUCUACCGCUUGGUGCGGCCCACUCCGUUCUCCUUUGGAGUCCUUUCUUGCCCUGCACCGACUUCCCAGCUGGGUGCAUCUUCAGGAGAAAUGUCUGCUCCUGGCUGUGCGAUGAACCCCGGAGAGAGGGGCCUCUGAAUAAGAGGCGUCUAGUGCGCUGCUCUCUUUCACUUGAACAGGCAAGCGACGCACACACAAAAUACCAAUUCUCUGGGCAAGCACACUUGGCUCAUUCAGCAGGGCAGAGUGCAAGGGAGCCUCCCAGCCAGCCUCAGCACCCUCCACUGAAGCCACACUUUGUGCCAGCAGCCAAUGCCCUGUGUAUACUUGUGUGCGCACAGCCUUCGCUGGCUGCCUGGUGAGCUGCCAACGGGCACAGUGUGCUUGGUACUUUAGAGAAGUGUUGCCAGGAAGGGGAGGGGAGUGAGGUGGUGGUGGGAAAGGGCCUCUGAGAAUAAGUCUUCCUGGAUCUCGGAUGUGAUAGAGCUCAAUGGAUCUGUUGUCAGUUCUGCUCCUAGCCCUAGCCUGCCAGAGAGGGCCUGCGGUGGGCUGCCUUUUCUCUCCAGGUACCAAGCAGAGGCAUGAUUCUAACAGAGCCUGUGAAUGCUUAAGAGCACAGAGGAAAACCUCUGACAUCUAAACACAUUUAUUAAUGGUUAUGAGGAUUCCAUCACUGUGUGUGUGUUACCUGAAUACCAGGCAACAGGUGGGCAACUCCUAGGAAAGUCAGAUUGCAAGGGCUGCCUUUGGAGCUCUAUAGAUAAGAUGUGGGGAACCAGCUGCCCUCCAGAUGUUGUUGGACUCCCACAUUCAUCAACCCUAGCCCAGCAGGGCCCCUUCAUGGAUCACUGCCUUGCCGUGGCGAAGGAGCUUGAAUAACUCCGAGAAGCUAUGAACUAUGCCGAGCAGGGCACUCAAGAUGGACAGGUCAUAGUGGUCCGUAUAGUUAAAGCUAUGGUUUUCCCAGUAGUGACGUAUGGAAGUGAGAGCUGGACCAUAAAGAAGGCUGAUCGCCGAAGAAUUGAUGCUUUUGAAUUAUGGUGCUGGAGGAGACUCUUGAGAGUCCCAUGGACUGCAAGAAGAUCAAAUCUAUCCAUUCUUAAGGAAAUCAGCCCUGAGUGCUCCCUGGAAGGACAAAUCCUGAAGCUGAGGCUCCAAUACUUUGGCCACCUCAUGAGAAGAAAAGAGAAGACUCCCUGGAAAAGACCCUGAUGUUGGGAAAGAUGAAGGGCACAAGGAAAAGGGGACGACAGAGGACGAGAUGGUUGGACAGUGUUCUCGAAGCUACCAGCAUGAGUCUGACCAAACUGCGGGAGGCAGUGGAAGACAGGAGUGCCUGGCGUGCUCUGGUCCAUGGGGCCACGAAGAGUCGGACACGACUAAACGACUAAACAACAACAACAAGCCCAGCAGGGAUGGUGGGUAUUGCAAAUCAGUAGCAUCUGAAGGGCCAGGGUCUCCCAGUCCCUGCUGUAAAUGUAACAGAACUUUUCUUGCCUUUGUAUUAUCUCUUCCUACUUGCCUCACUGAAAAGAAAAGAUUGGAUUUUCAAUAGUUCCACAAAAAUCAAAGGCCUGAGACAACAGGGCCAGAUUUUACCGGAAGCCUCUUGCUUAUUUUAUACCACACAAUUUACCUGUUUUUCAAAACUCGUUUAAUGCCUUUCCACAGGUUCAUCGCACAACACUGCCACUCCAGGAAAGAUGCAUCAAUAAGUAUUAAAUAUAACAAGAACAGGCCAACUUUUCAGCGGUGGCUCCCCAUUUGUGGAAUGCCCUUUUCAGGGAAGCAAACCUGGUGCCAUUGUUGUCUGUUUCUAGGCACCAGGCAAAAAACAUUCUUAUUUACCCAGGUGUUUGGUUUUUAAAUUGGGAGGGCACUUAGAAAAUAUAUCAGUGCCCUUUGUUACACUCAUCCUUUAAGUAUGCUGCAGAGGACUUGUUCAUGUAUAUAUAUAUAUAUAUAUAUAUAUAUAUAGGCAUUGUAAGUUUUUGUUUAUACCUGAUUUUACGGUAAUUAUCAUUUCUUCUUCUUCUUUUUUUACUACAGAGCCAUUAAUGGUGCUAUAUAAAUAAAGGUGAAUGAAUGAAUGAAUUAUAAUAAAUGUGGUGGUGGUGGAAGAAGAGGGGGAAACAAAUAAGCAGCUGGAUUAGUUUUGCUAAAGUUUCAGCCAGCCUUGCCUUCUGAACAGAUACCCCAUUUCUUUGCCCUCUCCUGUUUUUCUGCCUCUUCCCUAACUGAGAAUGCUCAGUCUUCAUUGAAAAGUUUUGUCCCUCACUGCUCAUCCAUAUUUUUGUUCUUUGGCAAAACAUGGCCCAACCAUGCUCGUUCCUCUCUUUUUAAUUUCCCAGCGGCCUCAUUUUGGCUACAAUUCUGUCAGCACAUACCAACUGAGUUUGCUUUUAGAACUGAUGGUGUUUAUUAAGUGCUAUUCAUGAGUGUUGCAGCCUCUUUGAACGCCUAAUUCUCCACAAGGCCAGCCUCCUUAAAACUUCUGCUUGGUUUCUUCAAACCAGAAAGGGAGGUGCCCUUAAAGCAGGGGGGAGCAUCACUUUCAGCCCAAGGGCCACAUUCCCUUGUAAACAACCUUCUGAGGGCCACAUUCCAGUCAUGGGCGGGGCCAGAGGCAAAAGUAGGUGGAGCAAUGAAUGCCAUUUUUGCCUUUGUAUAGUAGGUUAUUUUUCACACCCAUAUUCACACAUCCCUCUCUUAUCCUCCAGGGCCAGUGAGAAAUGUGGCCUUGAGAGAGCUGUUUGGGAGAGCCACAUUUCGUUGCUGGGCCUAAAGUUCCCCACCCCUCUCUGAAAGAUACAUAUUCAACAAAAUCCAAUUAUCCUAACAACCACAGCACCACCACAAAAUUGGUUGUGUGGUCUCUUUUCUGCCAUAGUUCCUGAUCCUGGCUAGGCAAUGUCCACACCUCCAGAAUGCAACAUCAGAGGCUUUGUGGGAAAUGUAAAUGCUGCCUGGCCCCCGGGAGUCUGGGAGAUCUCAUUUUAAUUUCCAACAAUGCCCCACAGCAACACUAUGUCACGAGAUGGCAGAAAACCAGGGUUCAAAUAUCCAAGCAGCUAUGAAGUUCACAGAGCGGCCUUGGGCAAGUCACUACUUGCAUACACAGCAUACAUUUGAAGCACAUGACUCUUUCCCCACCCCCUGCAAAAAAAUUAAUAAAUCCUGGGGACUGUGGUUUACCCCUCACAAACCUACAGUUCCCAGCACCCUUAACAGAUUACCCAGAUUCUUUCGGGGGAGGCCAUGCGCUUUAAAUGUGUGUCAAAAUGCAUGGUAUGUACACAGCCACUGUCCCUCAUCCUAACCUACUUCACAGGGUUGUUGUGAGGGGGAUGCCCUGACUAGAGCGGGGGGGACGGGACGACGACCUUGUAUGCGAUAUUGUUUGCUCCUUGGACCAAAGCUGGGAUACAAAUGUAAUAAGUAAAUAAAUAAAUAAAUAAAUACCCGCCACUGGGAUGUAAACCCACAUGGCACCAGAGGGCCUUCUCAGAUCUGGAGCCAGCCCUCCUCUCCCACAUCCUAGCCCCCAAACAUUCUGCAUCUUUAAGCAAUCCUUGAGCAGAAAGCUGUUGUGUGUAACCCUUUUAUAGACACCAUGGAUGGCGUGAGCCCAUUGCUGGCAAGAUAGGAAAACACACACACACAAACACGCACAAAAGAGAGACCACCCAUUAAGUGGGAUUUACAAGAUGCUUCUGGCGCAGGCUUUGGCUCCCAGCACGGACUGUUCCUGCCCCAGACAAGCGCAAGCAGUUUUGCCCCAUAAUUCUUUCUUCUUUCAUCUCCCUUGACAGGUCUCGGCCAUUCCUCUUCCCAAACCACAUUUCUUUUGCAUCAUCAGGACAGUUUAAAGACUUGGAAAAGGUGGGAUUUGCUUAGUCUUCCAAUUAGCAGCGCUGAAGGAGUUUUUGUGUGCAGGGGAGUGAAUCAGGAGGCCUCUCCCUGCUGUAUCUACCGGUUGCUUUGUGACCUUUCCAGAUCACUCCCUGCCCAGCAAACAAAAGGAAUUUCUUUUCAAAGUACCCUAAGUGUGCCUCAAACCAUUUUCCCUUUUCUUCAUCCGUUUAUGUGAUGCUUUGUAGAGUGGAAGAGAAUAGGUCCCUGUCCCAAGGAGGUCACAAUCUAAAUAUCUGAACAGGCCAAACUAGAGCUAGAGAGGAGACAUUGGAGACAGGGUAAAGUAAGAGAGUGCAUUGGUUGGGGGGGGGGGGGAGAGAGAGCAAUGUGCAGCUGUUUCCUUUUCACAUGCUUAGCCUUAGAGCAGAUGUGGGGAACCUCUGGCCUUCCAGAUUGCUGCUGAGCCACAAUUCUCAUCAUCCCUGGCCACUGGCCAUGCUUGCUGGGGCUAAUGGGGGUUGUAAUUCAGCAGCAUCUGGCGGGCCAAAGGUUCCCCACACCUGGCUUACAUACAGAUUCAUUUUAAACAGAGAAUGGAAACAUUGAGCACCAUCGUUUAUCGACUGCUGGGAUAGCUCAAUUGGUAAAGCAUGAGACUCUUGAGGUCAGAGUUGAGAGUUCAAGCGCCGCGUUGGGCACAAGAUUCCAGGGAGCUGGAGUUUGUCCACAGACAGCUUUCCAGGUCAUGGGGCCAGCAAGACUAAACCGCUUAUGGCACAACGGAAAACCGUGACGGGAGCCAGAGAACAUGGAAACGCCGUUUACCUUCCCGCCGCAGCGGUACCUAUUUAUCUACUUGCACCAGCGUGCUUUCGAACUGCUAGGUUGGCAGGAACUGGGACAGAGCAACAGGAGCUCACUCCAUCAUGGGGAUUCGAACCGCCAACCUUCCAAUCAGUUUAGACCAUAGCACCACCUGCGUCCCAGUAUAAAACACUGCAAGUGUGUUUGUUGGGGGGACGGGGACUGGCUGGUUUCUCACAAACAAAUGAAAAGAAUAGUGACUGUAACUUGUUGCCUAAAUAUAGCUCAGGUUCUACAGAUGCUAAACAUGCACUCUCUCUUAAAAAAAGGAAGGAAGGAAGAAACCAGGGAAUCUGGAGAUUAUGGUUCAUCCAAGGGGGAUUCCCUCCCCCCCCCACACACAUACACCAUAUCACCCUGUGGACACCCAUGAUUCCUGAUAGUAAUGUGUUUUAUGAAGAACUCAUUCCCAGAUUUGCUUGUGUUCCUAUUUCCUCCUCCCUCCCAUUUUGCUCUUAUCUUGUAACUACUGUAUUACAUUUUAACCCUGAAGGCAGGGACUGUAUAGUUGUCGUUUUAACCUUUGUAGAACUCUUAGCCUGCGUGCACAUUACCAACCUAAAAAACAGCAAAGUCAUCAUUUUUCUCAAUUUGGAUUGAAGCUGGUUUGUUAGGGGAACUCAUAAAAAUGCAGUAUUUCAUAAGAAACAAGAGGUAUGGAUUUUGGUUAAUAUGUGCACUCCACUUUCCAAACUGAUGGUGGGAACGCAAUGAGUGUAAACAGGAGCAUGUAAACAGGACCCUUAGAAAACUUAAAGCAAGAAAGAAGGAAUGCCAGUGCAACAAUCUGCAACAGAGGGACAAUAUGAUGACAUGGGCAACUCUCCUGCAACACAGCUGUAUCCAAAUGGCUUAGUGUCUAAAGGAGAUAGCAGUCUGUGUCCAAAUGGGAAUUUUCUCAAGUGUAGAGUGCCAUUUCAUGACACUGAAAUUCCCUAUUCUGUGCAAACUAAUCGAAGUACACAACCAAAUUCUUGCUAUGCAGGGGUCAUAUUUGCAGAUCUACAUUCGGCCACUGGUCCAUCUAACUCAGUAUUGUCUUCACUGACUGCCAGCAGCUCUCCAACAUCUCAGGCAGAGAUCCCUUUCCCAACCCUGGUGCAAAGACCCCUUUUUCUUAUCUUUUGAAGUGGAGGCCUGAUGGAGUCAGCUGUCAAUAAAAUAGCACCUCCUUCAUUUAUAGUCAAAAGCCGAACAACACCAUUAUUGUUACUAGCAUUAGUAGUAGUAGUAGUAGUCUGAUUUGCAACUUUAUAGUGCACAAUUUACGCACCUGAGUUAUCAUCAUAUAAAAUAAUACAUGUGCAUGCAUGGAUCUGAUAACCAUGCCACAUGUUGUUUGUCAGAUGGGCACCAAUGCUGCACCUUCUUUCACAAAGGAAAAAGGAAAAGAAAGCGAAUGCAUGCCAGUUUUCAGAGGAAGAUCUGCUAUGAAACUAAUGAAGCUUAAGCUUUGGGGAUGCUAAUCCUGGAGAGGCCCAAGUAAUGACUUUAGCCCACAUUGCCUUAAAAAUUUGCUUUAAAAAGUGCCUAAUGCAUGUAUAUAACACUUCCCUAAUUCCCCCCCCCCCCCCAUAACUCAAAAACUGUAAGGCGUAGGGAGUUUUUUAUUCACACCAGUGACUUGGACAUGUAAGAUAAUCCAGUACAAUUUCAACCAAAAUCUUAAUUGUAGUAGUUACUAUCAGGGGCGUCUUACCCAUAGAGGUUAGUGGUGCAGGGUGCCAGGGUUCCAAGUUCUGGAGGGCGCCAGGGAAGAGGCGGAGGCUGGACGCGGCGUCUCCCGGCAUCAACUCGCUGCCCUCGCCUGCCUCCGCCAUGCCGAAGCAGCGCCACACCCGCAGCCUCCGUCUGCCGUGGUCACUAUGGCACAAAGCGGCCAGCCUCUGCCUCUUCCCCACCGGAAGAGCCGCCCUCCAGCCACUGCCCGCCUCCUCCAGCCCCACCGGCAGUGCCGUCCUCCCUAAAAAACUCUGGGAAACGGGGGGGGGGGGCAGGGCAGAGGGAGCUUUGUACCAUGGCGCCGGAUAUGCUUAAAACGGCCCUGGUUACUAUUUUUUAAAAAAUUAUGGUGGUCUGUCAUGGAACAACCCCAUUGAAGGCGAUAACAGUGGUUGCCCAGACCUUGCUGCUGGUUGUGAAGGGGCCCCCGUAACAGUGCAAACUUCAGGGCCCCCCAAAAUGUAGAUCUGCCCCUGCCAGUGUGGCCAGCUUUACAAGGAAACUGUUCAUGCUACCAGUUUCGAGUUUCGGCUGCUGAGUAAAUAUUUGAGGAGACAGCCUGUGAUAAGUACGCUCCCCUGCUGAGUCUGGUGCCCUAGGUCAAAUCCCUGGCAUCUCCAGGUAAGGCAGGGAGAGAACCUAGGUCUGAAUCCCUGGAGGUCCCAUCCACACUUCCGUUUGUCCCUUAAUGUCAAGUCACAGGUCUGAGAGGUGUUCCACCUCUGUGGAAUCAUAGAAUUGUGGAGUUGGAAGGGACCCCCAGGGGCCAUCUAAUCCAACCCCCCUGCACUGUAGGAAUCUUUUGCUGAAUGUGGGGCUAUAGAACCCACAAGACUGAGAUUAAGAGUCUCAUGCUCUGCCGACUGAGCUAUCCCAGGUACAUCCAGCUGCUUUCCCUGGAAACCCCAAAAUUUACUGCUUUAUUGGAACAAACAUAACUCAGUUGGUUGGAUCGUGGUGCUGAUAAUGCCAAGGUUGCAGGUUCGAUUCUCGUAUGGGACAACUGCAUAUUCCUGCAUUGCAGAGGGUUGGACUCACUAGAUCAGCACUUCUCAACCUGUGGGUCCCCAGAUGUUGUUGGACUACAACUCCCAUCACCCCUAGCUAGCAAGGCCAGAGCUCAGGGAUGAUGGGAGUUGUAGUCCAACAACAUCUGGGGACCCACAGGUUGAGAACCGCUGGACUAGAUGAUCCUCAGGGUUCCUUCCAACUCUACAAUUCUAUGAUUCCGUCAACCCAGACUGCUGAGGCACAAGUAGAAGAAAGAAUUCAGCGUACCUCAGCAGAGCAUCCACCCAAGCUACCGAAGGAGACAGGUGAGUAGCCCGCCUCUGCAGAUUUACCUGUGUUCCAUGGUGUUCAUCCUCAUCACAUGCCAAAAAAGGACCGGACCAUCACAAGAUCUCUGCUCCAUUCAGCUACAGCCUGAAGCAGGGAAGAGAGGCAGCCCGACACUCGCUUGCUCACUCACUGGGAGGAAAGCUACGCUGUGGGAGUGGCAAGACAGGAGGGCUGAGGGAGGUGGCUGUCGGAGGAGCAAACACUCCUUUCCAGACACCCACGCAGGAAGGGAAGGCAGAAAGCAGGAGGGAAGAUGCAAGCCGGGGGAGUCAGGUGGUGCCAGGCCCAGCCACCCAUCUCUGCCUGGUGGUGCAGUGUGGAAAUAGGAAACUGCCACAUGGAGCAGGAAGCAGACACAUUUCAAGCACAUCAAAGAGAUAGACAUGAUUAUAUUAUUGGUUUUUGCAGUCACAUGUGUCUGGUUUUCCCAAAUUAAAUUAAUUUUAUUGUAUUUGAACGUCACUCACUCUAAUAAAAUGAUAGAAUGGUAGGAGUUGGAAGGGACCACAAGGGCCAUUUAGUUCAACCCCCUGCAAUGCAGGAAUCUUUUGCCCAACACAGGGCUCAAACCCACAACCCUGAGAUCAAGAGUCUCACGCUCUACCGACAGAGCUAUUCCAGUGUCCUAGUUAAGUCAGGCUGGGAAUUCCGCCAAAGAUUAUAGUGAAAAUGGCGGCACUGAUAUGUUGCUGGACUACAACUCCCAUCAACUCCACCCAAUGGUUGAAGUCCAUUGGAGUGUAGUUCAAAACUGGGAGGGUACCUAGCUGAGGAAGGCUGAAACAGAGCCUAGAGAGAGUCCAACUUCUCCCACGUAUUUCCAAUUGAAAAUUGUUUUUUAUCUUUUCUUCCCAUAAGGGCUUGAAAUGACAAAAUGAAACGAAACUGACACUCCAUUGAUUUGCACCGCAUGCAAAUAGGCGUAUGUGCAUGAGAGCAGUAGAGAGAACUGUGUCACAUUCCAGUUGACAAUCAAGACAACGUCAACAUUUCCAGUGACAGCCUUUGGCCCUCUCGGAUUACCACGCUGUUCUCAGCAGAGGGCUUCACAGCACAGAUAGGAGGCAGAGGCUGCGCAGUGCAGGUGUGUAACCUUUCAGGCCCAAAGCGAAAUGACCCAUUGGAGACCCCUCCUCCGGGGCCAAGCAAGCCCACACGUGGUGAGCCAGAGUCCUGCAUUUCCUGUCUCAGCGCCAAGGCACGCUUCCUCUCUGCCAAAACCCACACCCCUUGGGCUGCCCAUUGGACCAGAGCCUGCAAUCUGGAAGUGAUUUUCUUGCUCGGCUCAGCCUGGCCUGCUUGGGAACGAGCCUCUGGCCCCCACAAAUUCCACUUGGAUGGAAAGAUCUUCUUGCUUUCCCUCCAGUUGGAAUCCACAGCCAGCCACGGAUAACAAAACAUGUUUCUGAGCAGAACUGCAAGCAUAGUACAGCACCGAGUCAUGUAGUACGUUUAUUGCAGAUUUGUUUUGUCCCCUUACGAAUAGAAAAAUAAGCAUGACAUGCUUCAGUGCGGGAUAUUGGGAGACACAAGACUUGAAACAUACUGAAAAUUACAGUAGUUAUUUCUAAAAGAAGCAUCCAUAUGUACACAUGCACAAAAUGGGCAGGGCCAGAGGAAAAAGGGAGCCGAGCAAUUAAUGCAGUUGUUGCUUCUCUACAGACCUCUCUCUCUUACCAACUUCAAUGUGACCAGAGUUCAAGGCCACAUUCCAGCCAAGUGAAAACAUUUAAUGAGGUAGUUAGUAGGGCCUUCAAGGGGUGUGGCCUGGGGAGGGGGUGUGGCCUGCCAAUUCCAAGAGGCUGACAGAGAGGCCUAGAUAGCUGCAUUUGGCCCCUGUGCCAGAGGUUCCUCACUUCUGCUUUUUAAGCUACUUUCACCCAAUACAAGCCCCCUCUCCCAAGCCCAACACAUAAGGCGAGUUUGUAUUGCAUCCUUAUUUAUCCAAGAACUGCAUUGGAGCAUUUGGGGAAUAAAACAGCCUGUGGUUUGCAUAGGUCUGGGAAAUGGGAAUCAGUCCAAUUUGUAUCAAAAUCUGCAAAGAUCAAAUUCCUCAAAGUUCUCCAAUAAGGAAGCAUUUCCAGCCUUUAGCCUUCUUCAAGUGUUUCCCCAGUUCAGGGCCUUCAGUGCCUUUUGAAACGUUUCAAGGGAAGGCACAAAAAAAGAAGUAAAAAUGUAGUAUAAACACCAACAACUGGGAAACACUGGCUGCAAGCGCUCCAAUUGGAGAACAGCCUUUACCAAAGGUGUCAUGGGCUUUGGAGAAGCUUGAACUCAGGACGAAAGGGAGAAACGUGCUAAGAGGAAGGCACAUUUGGCAAACCCUCACCGUGAUCAACUCCUGCCUGGAAAUCUAUGUCUCCACUGCAGGAGGAUGUGUGGAUUCAGAACUGGCCUCCGCAGUCACUUAUGGACUCACUGUUAGAACCGUGUUCAUGGAAGACAAUCUUACUCGGCUACGAGUGAUCGCCAAAGAAGAAGAAAAGUGCCUAAAGGAAGGAACCAACUGACCCUCCCUGGGGAGAACAUUCCACAUUCAACAAAUGGAAUAUUUUACAAUAAUUUAUUUUAAAUACCAUCACUCCCUUAUGCCACAGGUCCUCAAGGAGGCUUACAUACCAAACCUAAAAAGCAAAACAAAAAAACCCUCACCAAAUUGUUAAAAUGCAGGAAGCAGAUUAAACCAUGAAACAGGGUACCACCACAGAAUAGGCCCUGCUCAUGGAGGUUUUGUUUCUCACAUCUGGAACAGGACCACCAAUGAUAAUCUGGGCAACCAGGUGCAUUCAUGCAGGAGGAGAUAGUUCUUGCUUUUCUCUAGUAUCUCAAGAUCUGCAAAGCUUGCCUAAGAUCCCAAGAGCUGAAUUGCCUAAAUUCAGAGCAAAACAUUUUUGCUUCAGUUAAUGGCGCUUUGUAAAUCAAACUGUUUUCGGAAGGACCUCAGCUGUGUGGGAAAGAGCUUUGCAUAGCCCCUGCAAAUCACUACUGUGAUCUCUCAGCCAGGCUUACUGCCUAGAAUGAAGAACUACAGAGUGUGACCUAGCGCUCAAAUUAAGAGGAAGCCUUGCUGAACUGAGCUGCUUUGUCUUGAACCUUAUUGUGGGAGACACUCAGGGCUUAUCCACACUUACCUUUCUUCCAUGAUUUCCAGGCACACUCCACACUUUAAAGCUCUUUUUUCUUUUGCUCUGGAGCUUUUCCCGCAAAAACCUGCUCUUUAAAUCUGAAUCAGAGCAAACAGCAAUCCACAAAAAAAACUGAAUUGCAGUUUGUUGUGCUUCACCUGUGUCUGGAAAGAGCAGAGCAAAAUUUAAGUGUGGAUAAGCCCUCAGCCCACAAUGCACACAUCCGAAGCAUUAUUCUGACUGCUUUGAUCCUUUUGCUGUUAGCAUGAGCCUGAAAAUUUGUCAUGAACUCGAGCUACAUCCUGCUUGGAAGUAACUUAAUUCAAGCUGCACGCCCAUAGACCAUGUUUGGAAAAUGCAGCUGACUCCUUUAUUCCCUCUUGUUUGUUCCAGACCUCAAGCCUGCAAAGUCAGAGGGCACGAAACGGCUGGUUUUUUGCCACUAAACACCAGUAAACAGUUUAUUUCAAAGAAGGCGUGGAAUAGGCUUCUGAAUCCAGUGCUAGGAGCAAAGGAGAUUGACUCAUGCAGAAUUAGCUGUUCUUUUCAGAGUGGGGUGCAAGAGGAGGAGGAGGAGUGCUUUUUCAGCCAAAAUGCAAUUUUGAAGAUGGUGGGAGUCUUCUUCUGUAGGUGGGAUGUGCAAUAAAUUAGGGAUAUGUGGGGGAGAAACCUGCAACCAAAUAUUGCAGUGCAUCAUCAUCCUCAAACAAGAAUGCUCCUGUUCAUGGGUCCAGCCAGCUUUGAACCCCUAUAGCAAUAGUCAUGCCUUGAAGGAAGAAAAGAGAGACCGUUCUUGGAAUAGUAGAAGGGAUCGACAAUAUGUUCAUUUCAGGUGGGGGUUUUGUCCAGUUUCACAUUCCUCUUCCACCCCAGUUUUAAAUUCAGUCCUCCACAUUUCUGCAUAGGUUUGUUUUUAUUUACCCAAAAAAGUCACCAACAUAUUAGUGCAUUUCCCCCUAAUAUACUGUUGUAUAUGCAGCUUUGCUUAAUAUAGUUUUUCAUUUUAUGGAAGCACAUAUAACAUAAUCCAGAAAUGCAAAAUUGAGAAGAACAGAGGAAGUGGCAGACUCUGAGUCCACCUAGCUCAGUACUGAUUGCACCAGUGUCUUCCGCCUUGGGUCCCAAAAUGUUGUUGGACUCACCCAUCAUCGCUAACCAUUGGGCAAACUGGCAGUGGAACGUGGGAUCUAUAGACCAACAACAUCUGGGCACCCAAGAUUGAAGAACCCUGGCCUAUGAUGACUGCAAUAGUACUCCAGGGUCUCGGUCAGAAAAAAUUCUAUCACCUGAUUGUUUUUAAACCAGAGAUGCCAAGGACUGAACUUGUGUCUUCUGCACACAAAGCAUGAGCUCUGCUACUGAGCUACAGCCUUGAUCCCUAUGCAGACAGGGCACCACAAAGAUCUCCACGGCAUUUCUGUGUAUGCUGCACACCUCUGUUCCUUGCAUAGGUAAAGGGACCCCUGACCAUUAGGUCCAGUCGUGGCCUACUCUGGGGUUGCGGCGCUCAUCUCGCUUUAUUGGCCGAGGGAGCCGGCGUACAGUUUCCGGGUCAUGUGGCCAGCAUGACUAAGCCACUUCUGGCAAGCCAGAGUAGUGCACGGAAAUGCUGUUUAUCUUCCUGCCCGAGUGGUACCUAUUUAUCUACUUGCACUUUGACGUGCUUUCGAACUGCUAGGUUGGCAGGAGCAGGGACCGAGCAACGGGAGCUCACCCCGUCGAGGGGAUUCUAACCACCAAUCUUCUGAUCAGUAAGUCUAUGGUUUAUGAUCAGUAAGUCUAUGAUCAGUAAGUCUGAUCAGUAAGCUCUAUGGUUUAACCCACAGCGCCACCCGUGUCCCGUUCCUUGCAUACAGGGGUCCAUUUAUGACCUCUCUGCCAGGGUGCCUUCAGAUCCUGGGACCAGCAGAGCUAGGGAGAUUCCUAAAUUUGCUCCCCCCACAUUUUGGCACAGCCUGCUGCAAGCAAGAGUGUCAGGCUGCUGCUUUUCAAAACUGCUUUCCCACCCCCACCACAAACCUCCCCCCUCCCCACUGCCAUGCAGGUUGGAAAGCAGGCGAAUCUCUCCAGAACAAGCAUCCACUCACGGCAUGCAGAACUCACCCAGGAUGCAGAGCCAAAAGUUCCACUCUGACUCAAACAGUUACAAGGGGAAGGAAAAUAAAAGAGACAGCACAAUAAGCAAAGUCAGCACCUUUUUUCCGCCUCGCAGCAUCCUGCCUUCACCAAGGCCUUUUAAGCAGCGGGAGAGCUUCAUCCUGUAACACUGUAUUUGUUCUGGCCUUCAGGAGGGACAAGGCAUCCUCCUGACUAGGACCAGGAGUACCUAGUUUCCAAUUCAAGCACAGAAACCCUCCUUUCCAUAGAAUGUCAAGGGCAAGGGUGAGGGUGAGAAUCUGUUGGCCAUCAGCCUCUGUGCCAAAACAGCUUUUCUACAACUGGUGCAAACUGAGCCCCGCUUGAGUCCUGUCUGCACUAUUCAUUUAAAGCAGUAUUUUGUCGGCAUCCAUCUGUCUUGAGAAACAGGGGAGUGCACUUCUGGGGGUGGAGUCAAACCUCUCUGUGUUAGCAGCACCGCAAGUGACCGCCCCGGGGGGCACAAGGCUGGGCAGUGUGUGUGGAAGUUUUGGACCCACUUCUCAGCCUUGCUGAGAAGAAAAAAAAGCAGAGCAAUUAGGUAUGUUUGGCACCAGCUUGGCUGCAGGAGUUGCUGGAAAGGAGGCGUACAAGGGGCUAUUUAACUGUCCUAGGGAAUCCACUCUGGAUUUGUGUAGGGUUUCCUCCUUAGCCUUUUCUUCUUCUGAAUAUAUCCUGCAAGGCCACUGAAGUUUAGGAUCAGAGUUGUCCUCCUCCUAGAUGGGCUACCUUUCCAGGUUUAUGAGCCCCUCAAUUCUCUCUACGGCAUGUGUAGAAACUGCCUUUUUGAACCCACUAUUGGCUCGUCCACUCAAUCUGCUAGUGCCUAUCUUUGCAUACAAGGGGAAUAUGACACCACUUAAAAGAGUCAUGGCUUCCCCCAAGUAAUCCUGGGAGCUGUACUCGGAGUUGUUAAAAGACACACACACCCCAGUUAACAAUAUUCAUUAUUGUUAACAAUAUUUAAAAAUGAAAACAUCAGUUUGAGAUACAAAGUACUGAUUCCUUUUCAGGGGUGCCAACUUGAAUAAAAUAUUGUGGGGGCCUAGGUCUUCUUCUUCUUCUUUGGCGAUCACUCAUAGCUGAGUAAGAUUGUUUUCCACAAACACGGUUUUAACAAUGAGUCCUUAAGUGACUGUGGAGGCCAAUUCUGGAUCCACAUGUCCUUCCACAGUGGAGACAUAGGUUUCCAGGCAGGAGUUGAUCACGGUGUGGAUUUGCCAAGUGUGUCUUCCUCCUCAAUCACAUGACACGGUGCACACACACCAUUUGAAUGGCAAUGCCCAUCAACGGGGGGGGGAGGGGGGCUCAGAUAUUUUAUUGCAGGGGCCAAAGCCCCACAGCCCCUGGCGGUUGGCUCCUAUGUUUCUUUUAGUAGCAGUUCAACAACUUGUCGCCCAAAACUUUUGAGCAUUUGCAAAUGUCACCAUGGCAACAGAAAGUUUGGACUGCAGCACAUUCAGAACAACUGACCAAGGAAGUUAAAGCCUUAGCAAGAAAGAGAGAAGAGGAUAGUUUUAUAGAGGCAUUGCAUCCUUUCAUCACAUACUCAACAGAACAUCAAAUACAGUGGACUCACAUUUGAAAUUUUGCAGUAACGUUUUCCCUUAGGAUUCUGUGCUUUGAGGGAGGGUGGGAGGGUAAAUGUACGUUAAUAGGGGUUAUGUUCUCAUGUUCCUUUUGAAAAACCAAUUAAAAACAUUUAUUUUAAAAGUGCUACUCCCCCAGGAGGGCCUCACAAUGCAUUAUGAAUUGCUAAUUUUAUUCCAAUACCAAACAUUUUAUUUCACUGUACUAAAAAAAAAUAUUCCAUCUUUUUCAAAGCUAAAAGAAAAGAAGCACGAACACAAGAAGGCUCCUGCAAUUUCAGACCAAAGGCCUGUUUAGUCCAGCAUCUUGUUUCCCAUGCUGGCCAACCAGAUGCUAAUGUGAAGCCCAGAAACAGGACUUCAUCGCAAACAGCUGUCUUCUCUGGUGAACGGUAUUCAGAGGCGUGUGGUGUUUGAACACUGAGCUGCAGAGGGGUGAAUUAGAUUAGGAUAACAGCCAGGAGUUUAAACACCCGCUUCCUUGGCUCUGAUCAAAGUGAUCCAUUCCUGACCAGCUGCUGUACAAUGAGUAAUUAAAUAAUUAAAAAGAUGGGAGAUAGGUCUUAUAGGUCUAUGACAUUGUGCCUGGCUUUGCCCACAGCAAAAGUUCUUCACAUCUGGAAUGCCCUUCUCAAACAGAUCCAGC